rnacentral:rRNA from 1 species
AGUGAACGCUGGCGGUAGGCCUAACACAUGCAAGUCGAACGGCAGCACAGUAAGAGCUUGCUCUUACGGGUGGCGAGUGGCGGACGAGUGAGGAAUACAUCGGAAUCUACUUUUUCGUGGGGGAUAACGUAGGGAAACUUACGCUAAUACCGCAUACGACCUACGGGUGAAAGCAGGGGAUCUUCGGACCUUGCGCGAUUGAAUGAGCCGAUGUCGGUUUAGCUAGUUGGAGGGGUAAAGGCCCACCAAGGCGACGAGCCGUAGCUGGUCUGAGAGGAUGAUCAGCCACACUGGAACUGAGACACGGUCCAGACUCCUACGGGAGGCAGCAGUGGGGAAUAUUGGACAAUGGGCGCAAGCCUGAUCCAGCCAGACCGCGUGGGUGAAGAAGGCCUUCGGGUUGUAAAGCCCUUUUGUUGGGAAAGAAAAGCAGCAGGUUAAUACCCCGCUGUUCUGACGGUACCCAAAGAAUAAGCACCGGCUAACUUCGU